AUUUUGGACUAGUGGUUAGGCCUCAGUGCUCUUAACGCUGUGGCCUAGGUUCGAUUUCCAGCCAGGGAA